rnacentral:rRNA from 1 species
GUAUAGCUUUUAACGGCGAAACUGCGAAUGGCUCAUUAAAACAGUUAUAGUUUAUUUGAUAGUUAAUGAAUUACAUGGAUAACUGUAGUAAUUCUAGAGCUAAUACAUGCGCAAACACUCGACUUUUUGGAAGAGUUGUGCUUAUUAGAUACAGAACUGACCUAAGGUAUCCCCUUAGUAUUGUCGGUGAUUCAUAAUAAUCAAUCGGAUCGCACAGAUUUCUGGCGACACAUCAUUCAAGUUUCUGACCUAUCAGCUAUCGUCGGUAGGGUAUUGGCCUACCGAGGCAAUGACGGGUAACGGAGAAUUAGGGUUCGAUUCCGGAGAGGGAGCCUGAGAAACGGCUACCACAUCUAAGGAUGGCAGCAGGCGCGCAAAUUACCCAAUCCUGACACAGGGAGGUAGUGACAAGAAAUAACAAUAUAGGGCAAUUUUGUCUUGUAAUUGGAAUGAGUGAAGUUUAAAUCUCUUCACGAGUACCAAUUGGAGGGCAAGUCUGGUGCCAGCAGCCGCGGUAAUUCCAGCUCCAAUAGCGUAUAUUAAAGUUGUUGCGGUUAAAAAGCUCGUAGUUGGAUUUCUGUUGAGGUUGACCGGUCUUCCUUUAAGGAUUGAUCUGGUUCGACCGAAACAUCUUUUAGGAGAAGCUUUAUUCUUAAUUGAAUUCUGAAUAUCUUAAACUUUUACUUUGAGGAAAUUAGAGUGUUUCAAGCAGGCGUAUGCCUUGAAUAUAUUAGCAUGGAAUAAUAUGAUAGGACUUUGGUUCUAUUUUGUUGGUUUUUAGAGCUAAAGUAAUGAUUAAUAGGGACAGUCGGGGG